UGAACGACUCUCGGCAACGGAYAUCUUGGCUCUCGCAUCGAUGAAGAACGUAGCGAAAUGCGAUACUUGGUGUGAAUUGCAGAAUCCCGUGAACCAUCGAGUCUUUGAACGCAAGUUGCGCCCGAGGCUUUUGGCCGAGGGCACGUCUGCCUGGGCGUCACGC
rnacentral:rRNA from 1 species